GCAGAGGGAUCUUCAGGCAAAGAUUCCUGACAUAGAGAAAUGCUUGGAUAUAGUUGCUACUUUGCAAGCUAAGAAGGACAGCAGUGAGGCACUAGUCGCUGAUUUUGAAGUGUCAGAAGGUAUUUAUUCCCGGGCUAAGAUUGAAGAUGCUGAAUCUGUGUGUUUAUGGCUAGGGGCAAAUGUCAUGCUACAGUAUUCAUGCGAAGAGGCUACUGCCCUUCUUCAAACAAACUUGGAAAAUGCAAAAGCCAGUUUAGAGGUUCUUGUGGCUGAUCUACAAUUUUUGAGGGAUCAAGUGACAAUUACUCAGGUCACAACUGCUCGUGUAUACAACUGGGAUGUUCAUCAACGUAGAGUUCGACAAGCUACCACUCCCAAAGAAUCAUGAGACACAUGACAUUGCAUCACAGAGUACGGUUCAUAUCUUUUUGGUUAAUUUUUGAACUGCUGUUACAAAAAUUAUGAAUUUGUUUGGUUUUGCCAUCGUUAGUGAGUUAAAUCUUUGCAUCAAGUUUAGCAAUUUUUACUUUAUUUUGUGAGCUAAGAGACAAAGAGUAUCUGACCUGUUAUCAUGUUUGUUUUGUUGUUUCCUAAAUACAAUAUAUAGUAGCCAGCCGCAUGUACUGGUUUUGAGUU
rnacentral:misc_RNA from 1 species